UGUGACGGCGUGCCUUUUGCAUAAUGAACCUACGAGUUACUUUUUCCGGCAAGGUUAAGCAUCUUGAGAUGUGGAUCCGAAGCGAAAGCGAGUCUGAACAGGGCGGAUAGUCGGAAGGAGUAGACGCGAAACCAAGUGAUCUACCCUUGGGCAGGUUGAAGGUUAGGUAACACUAACUGGAGGACCGAACCGAUAAGCGUUGAAAAGCUUCCGGAUGACCUGAGGGUGGGGGUGAAAGGCUAAUCAAACUUGGAGAUAGCUCGUACUCCCCGAAAUGCAUUUAGGUGCAGCCUUGAGAGUUACUAAUGUGAGGUAGAGCGACUGAUAAGAUGCGAGGGCUUCACCGCCUAUCAAGUCUUGAUAAACUCCGAAUGCGCAUUAGUUCUAUCUCAGGAGUGAGGGCAUGGGUGCUAAGGUCCAUGUCCUAAAGGAGAAGAAUCCAGACCAUCAGCUAAGGUCCCCAAAUAAACACUAAGUUGAACUAACGAAGUCAGAUUGCUAAGACAGCUAGGAUGUUGGCUUGGAAGCAGCCAUUCAUUUAAAGAGUGCGUAACAGCUCACUAGUCGAGGAGUUUGGCGUGGAUAAUAAUCGGGCAUUAAGUGUUUUACCGAAGCUAUGGGAUACGUAAGUAUCGGUAGGGGAGCAUUCCACUCUGCGUUGAAGGCGAAGCGUGAGCUUUACUGGAGCGUGUGGAAAAGCAAAUGUAGGUAUAAGUAACGAUAAAGGGGGUGAGAAACCCCCUCGCCGCAAGACUAAGGUUUCCUGAUCAACGCUAAUCGGAUCAGGGUUAGUCGGGUCCUAAGGCUCAGCCGAACGGUGAGGCCGAUGGCAGAACAGGUUAAUAUUCCUGUACUACCUAUAGGAGUGAUGUGGAGACGGAGGAGUGACAACGCCGCGGACUGACGGAAUAGUCCGUUAAAGGGUGUAGAUGUUGAUUAUCCCAGGCAAAUCCGGGAUAAGAGUCGAACCUGAUAGUAUACCAAUUUCCUCGGAAAACGGUAAUAGUGCGUGUAAACAUACUCCCAAGAAAAUCCGCUAAACUUAAUCUUAUAGGUACCCGUACCGUAAACGGACACACGUAGUCGGGUUGAAUAUACUCAGGCGCUUGAGUGAAUCACGGUUAAGGAACUAGGCAAAUUGACCCUGUAACUUCGGGAUAAAGGGUCCCUACCCGGUGACGGGAGGGCGCAGAGAAUAGGUCCAGGCAACUGUUUAACAAAAACACAGGGCUGUGCAAAAUUGAAAGAUCACGUAUACAGCCUGACACCUGCCCGGUGCUGGAAGGUUAAGAGGAGAUGUCAUCGCAAGAGAAGCAUUGAAUUGAAGCCCCAGUAAACGGCGGCCGUAACUAUAACGGUCCUAAGGUAGCGAAAUUCCUUGUCGGGUAAGUUCCGACCUGCACGAAUGGUGUAAUGAUCUGGACACUGUCUCAACCGUGAGCUCAGUGAAAUUGUAGUAUCGGUGAAGAUGCCGAUUACCCGCGAUGGGACGAAAAGACCCCGUGAACCUUUACUAUAGCUUAACAUUGAAUUUGGGUAAUUGAUGUGUAGGAUAGGCCGGAGACUUUGAAGC
rnacentral:rRNA from 1 species